rnacentral:rRNA from 1 species
CAGUAGCCGCGGGAAUACGGAGGGAGUUAGCGUUGUUCGGAAUUACUGGGCGUAAAGCGCACGUAGGCGGCUUUGUAAGUCAGAGGUGAAAGCCUGGAGCUCAACUCCAGAACUGCCUUUGAGACUGCAUCGCUUGAGUCCAGGGGAGGUAAGUGGAAUUCCGAGUGUAGAGGUGAAAUUCGUAGAUAUUCGGAAGAAUACCAGUGGCGAAGGCGGCUCACUGGACUGGUAUUGACGCUGAGGUGCGAAAGCGUGGGGAGCAAACAGGAUUAGAUACCCCUGUAGUCCCUGUCUCUUAUAC